rnacentral:lncRNA from 10 species
GAACCCGAGCCUCCUCCUGGGCGGGCGACGCUCGGCUGAUGGGACCGGGCCGCGCAAGCCUCGGAUGCAGCCGGGUGGGGGGCACCAGGCGCUAGGCGAAGGAGCGCAGGACCAAAGGAGAUGCUUGGCUCCUAAGAUAACACCUUUAAAAAGAAGAAGAAGAAAGAAAGAAAAACAAACAAACAAACUCGAUACUUAGCCUCACGAUCCUUGCCACCCCCUCCCUGCUCCGCCACCCACACACAAAAUAAAGUGAGCCGGGCGGGGGAGUGCGCGCCCUGAAAGGGAACAAGAAGCAAGGCGCCUGUGACACAAAAUGGAGAAAGAGGAACCGGGAGUGGAAAGGAAGAAGGAAAACCGAGUAAAGGAGGUUAUUCAUAAGAACAGGAAAGGGGCCGAGGGGUAGAGAACACCCGAAGGAAAGCGCAGGAGGCCCUCGUGAGAGGGCAAGGGGGAAAAGAUCGACGAAGUAAGAGCGAAAAGAGGAAAGGAAAGAAAGACUUUCUAGAUGCGGAGUCUCCAUUUUCAGCAGCGCCAUAUUCGCUUUUCCUCUCGCCGCUUUUGGCUGGGUUUUGUGUGCGGCGGUGGACAGGCGCCAGCACAUUUCUGCAGCUUCAGCAGCUCUGCUCAGACACCUGGGGAGGGCCGCAGGGCCCGGGCGGGGG